rnacentral:sRNA from 1 species
GCUAGGCAGCCGCCUAAUCGAGGGUCGGGUGGGCAGCCCGAUCACCGAGCCGGGGAACCAGUUACACGGGGUGAAUCCCCUUCGGCCGCAAGGCCGUCGGGGUAGGGCCGAUCUUCCCGACCCGAACCCGACAGCUAACCCGGUCGGCGGAGUGGGCAGGAAGA